GCGACCUCGCGAGAGCAAGCGGACCUCAUAAAGUGCGUCGUAGUCCGGAUUGGAGUCUGCAACUCGACUCCAUGAAGUCGGAAUCGCUAGUAAUCGUGGAUCAGAAUGCCACGGUGAAUACGUUCCCGGGCCUUGUACACACCGCCCGUCACACCAUGGGAGUGGGUUGCAAAAGAAGUAGGUAGCUUAACCUUCGGGAGGGCGCUUACCACUUUGUGAUUCAUGACUGGGGUGAAGUCGUAACAAGGUAACCGUAGGGGAACCUGCGGUUGGAUCACCUCCUUACCUUAAAGAAGC
rnacentral:rRNA from 2 species